rnacentral:rRNA from 1 species
CUACGGGAGGCAGCAGUGGGGAAUAUUGCACAAUGGGGGGAACCCUGAUGCAGCAACGCCGCGUGGAGGAUGACGCAUUUCGGUGUGUAAACUCCUUUUAUAUAGGAAGAUAAUGACGGUACUAUAUGAAUAAGCACCGGCUAACUCCGUGCCAGCAGCCGCGGUAAUACGGAGGGUGCAAGCGUUACUCGGAAUCACUGGGCGUAAAGCGCGCGCAGGCGGCCUUUUAAGUUGGAUGUGAAAGCCUACGGCUUAACCGUAGAACUGCAUCCAAAACUACUAGGCUAGAGUCUGGGAGAGGAAGAUGGAAUUAGUUGUGUAGGGGUAAAAUCCGUAGAGAUAACUAGGAAUACCAAAAGCGAAGGCAAUCUUCUGGAACAGUACUGACGCUGAGGCGCGAAAGCGUGGGGAGCAAACAGGAUUAGAUACCCUAGUAGUC